GCAGCCUGCAACUCGGCUGCAUGAAGCCGGAAUCGCUAGUAAUCGCGGAUCAGAAUGCCGCGGUGAAUACGUUCCCGGGUCUUGUACACACCGCCCGUCACACCAUGGGAGUCGGAAAUGCCCGAAGUCGGUGACCUAACGAAAGAAGGAGCCGCCGAAGGCAGGUCCGGUAACUGGGGUGAAGUCGUAACAAGGUAAC
rnacentral:rRNA from 1 species